CAGCGGGUCACAAUGGCUUUGCUUGCGUAACAAAUUCCCUUCAGCCCAGCUCACUACAGAAAGCCGUGGAGAACAACAAAAAGGAAAACCAACCCCGAGUGGUCUCUGCCGAGCCCAGAUGCACGACGGGACCUCAGGCCAAGCCCACGCCAAGUCAGCCCCAAGGGACUAGGAAGAGCAGCCACGUUUGAUUUUGUUCUUCAGCUUCGCCUUUCUAACAGCAAGGACUUGGCUGUCUCUAGACAGGAGACAGACGCUGUCCAACUUAUUCUAAAAUUCUCUUUCACUCUUACGCUCAGACGCCCUCAUGCCACGGGCAGGUUGUAAGCAAAUCCAACACGGCAGAUAGUAAUUAAGCCUGCAGAGAGGAUUUCUGUACGUCAGCACACCCAGGAGCGUAUGUAAUAGGAGUCUCACUCGUUUUUGUUUGCCCGUCUCUCACAUAGACUUACAUUCUUACCUACGUGUGCAUUUCGUGUUCUGGACGAUGGUGCUCCAGCACCUGCCCUUGCAGGAGCUCCUCUUUUCUUCUUUGCUGUGGUCAGUUGCUGGGACCCAGGGGCCGAGUGGAUCACGCAGCAACCUUCAUCACGGGGGAUCAUUCUGGGGGCAUGUGUGGCCUUUUCUCUGGCUUGCUUGCUCCUUAUCUGUAUUCAUUCUGUCCUCUGCAUUCCUUCCUUUCUUCCUUCCUUCCUCUGUGCCCCACUUCCAUUCCACUCCUCUCUCAUGCACAGUCACACAUGGUAGACAAUGUAUUAUUUAAAUACAUUCCUGCAGAAUUUCUAUUGUUGUAUGUGCCUCAUUUUUAACUCACGACCACGUUUUUC
rnacentral:lncRNA from 1 species